GGCUUAACACAUGCAAGUCGAACGAACUCUUCGGAGUUAGUGGCAGACGGGUGAGUAACGCGUGGGAACCUACCUUUAGGUACGGAACAACAGUUGGAAACGACUGCUAAUACCGUAUGUGCCCUAUGGGGGAAAGAUUUAUCGCCUAAGGAUGGGCCCGCGUUGGAUUAGCUAGUUGGUGGGGUAAUGGCCUACCAAGGCGACGAUCCAUAGCUGGUCUGAGAGGAUGAUCAGCCACACUGGGACUGAGACACGGCCCAGACUCCUACGGGAGGCAGCAGUGGGGAAUAUUGGACAAUGGGCGCAAGCCUGAUCCAGCCAUGCCGCGUGAGUGACGAAGGCCCUAGGGUUGUAAAGCUCUUUCAGCGAGGAGGAUAAUGACGUUACUCGCGGAAGAAGCCCCGGCUAACUUCGUGCCAGCAGCCGCGGUAAUACGAAGGGGGCUAGCGUUGUUCGGAAUCACUGGGCGUAAAGCGCACGUAGGCGGACUGAUCAGUCAGGGGUGAAAUCCCGGGGCUCAACCCCGGAACUGCCUUUGAUACUGUCAGUCUUGAGUCCGAGAGAGGUGAGUGGAACUCCGAGUGUAGAGGUGAAAUUCGUAGAUAUUCGGAAGAACACCAGUUGGCGAAGGCGGCUCACUGGCUUCGUUACUGACGCUGAGGUGCGAAAGCGUGGGGGAGCAAACAGGAUUAGAUACCCUGGU
rnacentral:rRNA from 1 species